rnacentral:rRNA from 1 species
GACGAACGCUGGCGGCGUGCCUAAUACAUGCAAGUCGAACGCAGUGGGGACGGGUGAGUAACACGUGGGUAACCUCCCAUCAGAGGGGAUAACACUUGGACACAGGUGCUAAACCGAUACUGAUGGAUGGACCAGCGGUGCAUUAGCUAGUUGGUGAGGUAUCGGCUCACCACGGCCACGAUGCCUAGCGGACCUGAGAGGGUGAUAGGCCACCAUGGGACUGAGACACGGCCCAGACUCCUACGGGAGGCAGCAGUAGGGAAUCUUGGGCAAUGGACGAAAGUCUGACCGAGCAACGCCGCGUGAGUGAAGAAGGUUUUCGGAUCGUAAAGCUCUUUUAUUAGAGAAGCGGUAUCUAACCAAAAAGCCACGGCUAACUACGUGCCAGCCGCCGCGGUAAUAC